CGGAAGUUAGCUCAUUGGUAGAGCGAUCGACUCAUAAUCGAUUGGUUACAGGUUCGAUUCCUGUACUUUCGACCA
rnacentral:tRNA from 1 species